rnacentral:lncRNA from 1 species
AGUUUAGACUAGACCUCAAAGUUCACCAGUCAGGAAGUGCCAUGCUGGGCCACCCACCAUCUGGUCUGGAAUGAAGCCAGGGAUCCCCAGGACUCUGCAGAUAGAUCCAGGCCUUCCAAUAACCAGCCCGCCACCAGCAGCCAAGGCGGCCCAGAAUGAUCGUUGUCUUAUGGAUGGUUCUCAUUGCAGGAACGAUGUGGAAGGGAUAUAAAUAUCCCCCAGGAGGGACCCCUCUGGAAGUAAACAAAGAUGACCCUGGUGAACCAAUGCAGCUGUGAAGAUCACCCAACUGCACAGUUCCUGUUGUAGGUUUCGCAUAAAGUAAUCGCACAUUAUUUUGUC